ensembl:lncRNA
CUGGAGGUGGAGCCGAGCCCAGGGCCGCCUCGCAGGAGGGAAAGUUCGGCGGCGCCGGGCGGGAGCAGCGUAGCCAAGGGAGCCGGCUCCGCUGUCUGCAGGGUUGCUUGGGGUCUCGUUUUCCUCCUGGAAUACAGCGUGUGCAGAUGGAUCAAAGUUACCUACUAUAAAUUGAACAGAGCAUGAGGACCGGACUAAAUAAUGCAUGGAGUGUCUGUGGGUGAAGAGUCAAUUUUAAAGUAUGUGGCUGGUGUUCACAGUUGGAGCCUCCUGCAAGUAGACUUACUGGUUCUGCACAUCUAACCUGAGAUUAAAGAGGACCCUGAAGAUUCAUGGGCUAGCCUGUCUUAAACAAACACCGGUCAGUUUAUAUAGUACGAUGAAUUAUCAGGAGCUCUUGCUCCACACCAGGAAGGACCAGUGCAGCAGCUGUGGCCCAGAGAAGGAAGUAGGCGAAAAGGAAGACACCACAGCCUGCCUGCAUAGACCAGGCAGGGUGAGGAUCCAGCAGAAGCUCCUCCUGCCUUGGUCUUCUUUGACAGUCAGUCGGUCUACACGUUCCACUCUCUUCUUUCUGUAUUCUGUGACGCUGCAACCUUGGGGACUUUCUCGUACCUCCCAGAGGCUGGAGAACGUGCUGCCUUUGAAACCGUUCCUUGCUUCUCAAGAGGAACCCGCUGCCAGCAGUGAAG